rnacentral:tRNA from 1 species
GCCUGGGUGGCUCAGUCGGUUGGGCGGCUGACUUCGGCUCAGGUCAUGAUCUCGCGGUCCGUGAGUUCAAGCCCCGCGUCAGGCU